AUGGUGGUAGCAAAGAUGCAAAGUCGAGGGCUGGUUCCAGCAAAUCAAAAACGCGGUGGCAGCAAAAAAACGACGCUGGUUCCAGCAAAAUACAAAACGGUGGUAGCAAAAACAUACAGAACAGCGCUAGUUUCAGCAAAAAAAAAACGCCGAUUGAAGCAAAAAUUUGUGCGGAUUUCAGCACCUGGCCGCCAUGGUUGUAGCUCUUGCCAGCAUCCACAGGCUGCCGCUGUAGCUGGAAGCACCACACCUCCGCUCGCCGACAGUCAUCCUCUACGCAUCUCUGCAUCUUCGUUUGUGCUCCUCCGGGGUCGCUCGCUCGCCACACACCUCUUCCGCCGCCGGCGAGCUGUUUAUUUGGAGGUAGACCACAGGAGGGAGAGGACGUGGGGAAAGAAUGGCUGUGUGGCUGGGAACGCAAGAGGAUAA
rnacentral:rRNA from 1 species